GGAGCAGACACACACACACACCCGAGCACAGGAGUGGUCAGUCAGCAUCACGAUACACACUCGGAUCAGUGGACGAGUCAUGAGCCGAUGAUUGCUGGGAAUGAUGAGCAGAGCGUCUUUAUCAGUGAAGUGGAGUCUUCCUCAGUUUCCUCACAGAUUCCAGACUUGGUCCAGCAUCUCCUCAUGAGUGUGUCUCAUGCCGGGACUCUGGAAGCGGCGUCACAGAUUUGUCUGGAGCUGCGUGUGAUGCUGCUGGAUAUGAUCCUGGUCUCAGCAGCUUUCCAGCGGUUCAAGAGA